rnacentral:rRNA from 1 species
AGUGAACGCUGGCGGUAGGCCUAACACAUGCAAGUCGAACGGCAGCACAGUAAGAGCUUGCUCUUACGGGUGGCGAGUGGCGGACGGGUGAGGAAUACAUCGGAAUCUACUUUUUCGUGGGGGAUAACGUAGGGAAACUUACGCUAAUACCGCAUACGACCUACGGGUGAAAGCAGGGGAUCUUCGGACCUUGCGCGAUUGAAUGAGCCGAUGUCGGAUUAGCUAGUUGGCGGGGUAAAGGCCCACCAAGGCGACGAUCCGUAGCUGGUCUGAGAGGAUGAUCAGCCACACUGGAACUGAGACACGGUCCAGACUCCUACGGGAGGCAGCAGUAGGGAAUAUUGGACAAUGGGCGCAAGCCUGAUCCAGCCAUACCGCGUGGGUGAAGAAGGCCUUCGGGUUGUAAAGCCCUUUUGUCGGGAAAGAAAAGCAGCAGGUUAAUACCCCGCUGUUCUGACGGUACCCAAAGAAUAAGCACCGGCUAACUUCGUG